CCUACGGGAGGCAGCAGUGAGGAAUAUUGGUCAAUGGGCUUACGCCUGAACCAGCCAAGUCGCGUGAGGGAAGACUGCCCUAUGGGUUGUAAACCUCUUUUGUCAGGGAGCAACGCCGGCUACGUGUAGCCGGACUGAGAGUACCUGAAGAAAAAGCAUCGGCUAACUCCGGGCCAGCGGCCCCGGUAAAACGGAGGAUGCGAGCGUUAUCCGGAUUUAUUGGGUUUAAAGGGUGCGUAGGCGGAAUGCCAAGUCAGCGGUAAAAUCGCGGGGCUCAACCUCGCUCCGCCGUUGAAACUGGCGUUCUUGAGUGGGCGAGAAGUAUGCGGAAUGCGUGGUGUAGCGGUGAAAUGCAUAGAUAUCACGCAGAACUCCGAUUGCGAAGGCAGCAUACCGGCGCCCAACUGACGCUGAAGCACGAAAGCGUGGGUAUCGAACAGGAUUAGAUACCCCAGUAGUC
rnacentral:rRNA from 1 species